AUGCACGCUGGCGGCGUGCCUCAUACCUGCCAGUCGAGCGAACAGAUGAGGAGCUUGCUCCUCUGACGUUAGCGGCGGACGGGUGAGUAACACGUGGAUAACCUACCUAUAAGACUGGGAUAACUUCGGGAAACCGGAGCUAAUACCGGAUAAUAUAUUGAACCGCAUGGUUCAAUAGUGAAAGACGGUUUUGCUGUCACUUAUAGAUGGAUCCGCGCCGCAUUAGCUAGUUGGUAAGGUAACGGCUUACCAAGGCAACGAUGCGUAGCCGACCUGAGAGGGUGAUCGGCCACACUGGAACUGAGACACGGUCCAGACUCCUACGGGAGGCAGCAGUAGGGAAUCUUCCGCAAUGGGCGAAAGCCUGACGGAGCAACGCCGCGUGAGUGAUGAAGGUCUUCGGAUCGUAAAACUCUGUUAUUAGGGAAGAACAAAUGUGUAAGUAACUAUGCACGUCUUGACGGUACCUAAUCAGAAAGCCACGGCUAACUACGUG
rnacentral:rRNA from 1 species